UACUAGUUGCUACGCACACGCUCUUCCCAGCUUGGAGACGUCUUCUCAUCCUUUGCUUGGAAAGUCCACAGCACUAUACCUGCGUGGAGACAUCUUCUCAUCCUUUGCUUGGAAAGGUAGACUCUCCAGAAUCCACAGUCGUCCAGACCUGCGUAGUGAUGUUCAGUACAGGUGCAGGUCUCUCCUAUGCUUCCCUGUUUGAUCUUCCUUUUAAUCAUUUUUCAACAUCGAUCGUCUGAGAAAUACUGGAACUAACUUGUCCAGCCAGCCAUCUGUGAAGUGUGUGAUGUCGUG
rnacentral:lncRNA from 1 species